GGGCGGGCUGCGACCCCUGCAUCCCACUGAAGCCAACAAGCUAAGGGCCGCUGAGAGUCGAGCCCCCCUCCCUCCUCCCCGCCCGCGCUACCUGUUGCUCUCUGUGCAAGAAGAGACAGCCAAUGCCUGGCAACUCCCUCCCAAGAUCCUAAGAAAAAUAGCUGUUAUCUCUUGCGGUGCGCAAUUUGGCGACCAGCUUCCUUCGGAGCGCGUUCAAAGUAAAGGCGGUCGCCGAUGGAGUGAUUUGCAGCGCCUUCCCCAGGAUCGAAGCAGGAAGAGCUUGGACAAAAUGCACGAUGGUGAAUUCGCUGGGCCCGGGGAGUCUUACAGAAAUUAAAUGCAAAAGACUGGAUGCAAAGGACGGGGUCUUUCCAAAUGUAUUUAUUCUCUGGCUCACAGAAGUAGUAAUUCCAUGAAUGGAAGGAGACCUUUGGCAUCAACCCAUAGUCCUUUCAGGAGAAGAAGGCCAAGUCGAGGAAUGAAGCUCCACGGAAGACAUGAAAAAGCAGGGAAGGUUGCAUUCGCCAACUCAUCUGACGUCCUUGGGCUGCUGAUGACAGCUGGAGCUGCAAAAUUUGUACAUAAUUCAAAAACAGUGGAUGCAUUUUGCCUCCCGCCCCCCUUUCUCUAUUUACUGUGUGCACACAUUUCAUUUGCAGCGUGGUUCAGUUUGCCUUCAUUUGAUCUGAUCGCUGCUUUGACCUGUCAUAUUUUAUCUUGGUGUCCUUUGGAAAGACCAUAUGCCACUUCCCUUAGUUACUUUGCUUGGCAGAAAACAGGAAGUAAAUUAUUCCCGAGAAGAUAGCUCGCCUCCUAGCUUUAACAUGCCUGACUCUAAAAGGCCCUUCACUCGAAUCGAACUCCCUGUUUAAAAAACUGGACUAUGGGUAUGACGGAAUUUGACGAGAAACUUCUAGGAUGAGCCCAACAGAUUUAUUUUCUUCCUUCCAGACCUCAUUUGAUGGUUGAUUUGUUAUUGUUAUUAGCAGGGCUCAUUUCGAGGGGAAACGCGCAGGAACGCAGUUCUGGCAGUUCCUCAAAGAGGUCACAUGUCAGGUGGGCCUGCCCGCCUGACUCUCGGCCAUUUAGGGUCCGUUUCAGCCUGGAUCAGGGCCAAAACGGCCUGGAUCGGGCCUCUGACGGGUGGUGGAUCACUCUCCCACUUAGCAGCAGCCUGAUCCUGACCAUUUUGGGCCCCUUUUCGGCCAUUUUCAGCCCCUUUUUGCCAUUUUGGGCCCAAUUUCAGCCCUGAAUGGCCAGGAUUGGGUCCAAAACAGCCAGGAUAGGUGAUAUCAGGGGGUGUGGCAUAUGCAAAUCAGUUAUGCCAAUGGCACACUUCCAUAACUCAUUAGCGUGUGCUAAUGAGUUUUGCUAAUGAGUUCCUCCAGCUCUUUUUCUACAAAAUGACCCCUAGUUAUUAGAGAUCUUCAGGUGGUGUUGUGAAGCUCUUAAUUCACCAAGUUAGUGUUCCCAACUCUGGGUUAGGAAAUUCCUGUAAGCUUGGGGAAGGACCUCUGCAGGGUAUGUCGCCCUCCAAAACAGCUGUUUUCUCCAAGGGAACUGAUCUCUGUAGUCUGGAGAUCAGUUGUGAUUCCAGGAGAUCUCCAAGCCUCGCCUGAAGGUGGGUAGCCUUGUACCAGGUCUUUUAAGGGUUUCUAAACUGCAGGCAUCUUGUGAUAGGGUUCAUAGAAUCAUAGAGUUGGAAGGGGGCCUCCACGGCCAUCUAGUCCAAUCCGCUGCACAAUGCAGGAAAUUCACAACUAUCUCCCCCCUCCGUGACCCCAGAAGAUAGCAAGAGGGGAAUAUCUGGUGCUUUAGUCUAUUCGUUUUAAGUUAUAAAGUGUUAACUGCAAAGUGUAAGCUGCCUUGAGCCACAAGGAAGGGAGGGAUAUGAGUAUUUAAAUAAAUAAACAUAGCAAGUGUGCAAAGGGGAGAACCUUCUAAAGUUAUAGUUACCAAAUUCAAGGUGGAGCCUAGAGUUCUCCUGCAAUUGGAACAGCUGUCAGCUUUGGGUGGUAGACUCUAUCACACCACAUCUCUACUGAGCGCCCUCUCCUCCAACACUGUCCUCUCAAGCACCGCAGCAGAAUCUCAAGGAAUUUCCUAAGCUAGAGUUGGCAACCCUAAUUAAAGUAGAGAACUCCACUCAAUUCACUUUUCACAUCUUGUGUAAUCAGACUCCUGGAUACAUGGUGGACUUCUAUCAUAGGCUGCAGCUUCCUGGCUCAUAUUCACUGCUUGUCACCUCUCCCUUUGCAUAUUAUGGGUUGGAGCCAAACCAUGUGAUUACAUCUGAAGGUGUACCUUUCGAUCAAUCAUCAUAGUUUGGCUCUACGCUGUGGUGUUUACUAUAGCUAGUAACAUCUGGUGUAUCUGAGUGCCAGUUCAUCAGACAAUAAUGCUGAGACUUCACAUAAUCUGUUAUUAAGAGAGAGAAGACUUCACAAGGUCUUGUCUUCCUGGCGGCUGGAUUUACAGCAAAUAAAAUGGAUGGAGAAACUGAAUUAAACAUUGACUUGAGUAUCUGCUGAGUUCCUCUAAGCCUGUGUUGUUGCCCAUCGCUCAUAAGCAUUGUGAUCCCAUAUAAGCAGCUACGACUAUAGAUUAGAAGUCUGCUCUUCAGGCAUUCUUGAAUCACUUCCAUGUGGAAAUUAAAGGGUAAUGAACAGUGAAGUGAUCUUGUAUACAACAACAACAACUUUGCUUAUAUGCCGCUCAUCUAGACAGAUUAGUGCCUCACCCAGAGCGGUGAACAAGUUAGUGUUAUUUUCACCACAAUACAAACUGGGGAGUUGAACUGAGAGGAGUGGCUUCCCCAAGGCCACCUACUGAGCUCAUGGCAGUAGUGGGAUUCAAACCAGCAGAGUGCUGAUUCACAGCCCAACCACUUAACCACUGUGCUACAGCAACUUUCAUAAUAACUCUGCUUAUAUACCACUCUUCUAGACAGAUCAGUGCCCCAUUCAGAGCAGUGAACAAAUCAGGGUUGUUAAUAUCCCCACAAUACAGCUGGGGGACUAGGGCUGAGAGGAGUGCCUUACCUAAGGCCAUCUGCUGAACUCACGGCAGUAGUGGGAGUCGAACCAGCAGAGUGCUGAUUCACAGCCCAACCACUUAACCACUGUGCUUGAGCUGGUCCCCAUUUCUCUGCCCAAGUAUCCUCAUCCUCUGCCCAAGUAUCCUCAAGAAGGCUCCAAGUUGGCCAAAUGAAAAUGUCCACAUUUGGUCCUUAGGAAUUUUUAUUUCACCUUCCCUGUGACCUGUUGAAGGCAAAGAGCCAGAGACAUGUUUUAUGCACUAGAAAUCAAUUAUUAGUGAUUUCUUUUUAGGUCUGGUAUGCUGCAGCUAUUCUGAUCUUCUCAGAACCUAGGCAUCCCAAUGUGUUAAUAGACUUUCUCCGUUUGCACACUGUUCCUGAUCACUUAACAGAGAGGCUUGAUGAAUCAUGCAUAAUAACAGUAGUUUUAGUCCAGUGGCACCUUAGAGACCAACAAGAGUUUCAGAGUGUAGCUUACACUCCGAAAAUCUUGCUGGUCUCUAAGGUGCCACUGGACUCAAAUCCUGCUCUUCCACUGCAGACCAACACGGCCACCCACCUAAACAACACUGACUUUGUUCUCUGCUCUGAAUGGGACACUCAUCUGUCUAGAAGAGCUGCAUAUAAGCAAGUUGGAUGUAAUGAAUACAUGUGUGAAACUGCCUCUUCCAUUAAUAUGUGCAAGAGUCCCCGUUUGGAAGUUCCUACUCUGAGCUUUUCAAGGCAGAAAUAUAAUAAAUACAAGGUUUGAAUCCAGUAGCACCUUAAAGAGCAACUAGAUUUCCAGGGUAUGAGCUUUUGAGAGUCAGAGCUCCCUUCAUCAGAUACAAAGACUUUUCCCACUGACAAAGGGAGCUCUGACUCUUGAAAAACCAUACCCUGGAAAUCUAGUUGUUCUUUAAAGUGCUAUUGGACCCAAAUCUUGCUCUUCCACUACAGACCAACACAGCCACCCACCUGACAAUAAUAAAUGCAGUAUGCUUGUUUAUUUAAAUGAGGAGAGAGGUCUGAUUAAUUUCUCAUUUUGUAUUCUAAAAAGAGUGUCUUUUUUUUGUUCUUCUUUUGCUUCACUAUUCCCAUAACUGCUGCAGGAUGUUUCAGUCUGUAUUGUAACCAUCCAGCACCUCCUGCUCCGAUUCAGUCUGUAACACAUUCUGUACUCCAUUUUAAGUCGCUUCAAACUGCACAGUUGGCAACUCGAUUUUGCCCUGAAACAUCCUCCCCUUCUUUUCCUCCCCAAUUUUCCUCCUUUGGUGUUUUAAAACACUUCAAAACUUGCUCUGU